rnacentral:rRNA from 1 species
UCCAGUGAUGAUAGCGAAGUGGACACACCUGUACCCAUCCCGAACACAGAAGUUAAGCACUUCAGCGGCGAAGAUAGUUGGGCUUGCCCCUGUGAAAAUAGCUCGUUGCUGGUU